rnacentral:tRNA from 1 species
GCCUGGUUGGCUCAGUCGGAAAAGCAUGUGACUCUUGAUCUCUGGGUCGUGAGUUCGAGUCCCGCAUGAGGUG